UGCCAGCCGCCGCGGUAAUACGAAGGGGGCUAGCGUUGUUCGGAUUUACUGGGCGUAAAGCGCACGUAGGCGGUUUGUUAAGUCAGAGGUGAAAUCCCGGAGCUCAACUCCGGAACUGCCUUUGAUACUGGCAAGCUAGAGUCCGGAAGAGGUAAGUGGAACUCCUAGUGUAGAGGUGGAAUUCGUAGAUAUUAGGAAGAACACCAGUGGCGAAGGCGGCUUACUGGUCCGGAACUGACGCUGAGGUGCGAAAGCGUGGGGAGCAAACAGGAUUAGAUA
rnacentral:rRNA from 1 species